CCCACAUGCCCCAAGUUCCAACCCAAUAUCUUUGACCCCUCCCGCUGCCACGAAUGUCUGCGCCAGAGGCACCUGCACACGAGUGCAGGGGAAAGAACCGAGCCAGAGCCUCAACAAAAAACCCCGCCAGAGGAUGGGGAUACGAUUGGGAAGAGCGCAGCACUUGAAAGUGGGAUCGGGUCGAGCAGGGCAGUGCUGCUGACGCCAAUCUCAUCUCAGGAAGAGGAAAGAGACACCACCAGCAGCAGCAAGGAGGACUCUGACAGUCUUUCAGUGGCGAGCAGCUACUGUGAUAACGGAGGUCAGGCGCGUCAUGGGGAGACCUCUCUGUGCAUCUUGAGCCCUGACUGCAAGCUCUAUAUCUGUGAGGACGGCGACAGCACGGACAGCUGCCGUGACCAGAGCGAAGA